UAUUUAUUAGAUAAAAAACCAAUGCCCUUCGGGGCUCCUUGGUGAUUCAUGAUAACUUCUCAGAUCGCAUAGCCUUGUGCUGGCGACGGUUCAUUCAAAUUUCUGCCCUAUCAACUUUCGAUGGUAAGGUAUUGGCUUACCAUGGUUUCAACGGGUAACGGGGAAUUAGGGUUCGAUUCCGGAGAGGGAGCCUGAGAAACGGCUACCACAUCCAAGGAAGGCAGCAGGCGCGCAAAUUACCCAAUUCCGAUACGGAGAGGUAGUGACAAUAAAUACUGAUACAGGGCUCUUUUGGGUCUUGUAAUUGGAAUGAGUACAAUUUAAACCUCUUAACGAGGAACAAUUGGAGGGCAAGUCUGGUGCCAGCAGCCGCGGUAAUUCCAGCUCCAAUAGCGUAUAUUAAAGUUGUUGCAGUUAAAAAGCUCGUAGUUGAACCUUUGGCCUGGCUGGCAGGUCCGCCUCACCGCGUGCACUUGACCGGCCGGGCCUUUUCUUCUGGAGAACCGCAUGCCCUUCACUGGGUGUGUUGGGGACCAGGACUUUUACUUUGAAAAAAUUAGAGUGUUCAAAGCAGGC
rnacentral:rRNA from 1 species